UGCGGGUUUGGCGGAAUUGGCAGACGCACCAGAUUUAGGAUCUGGCGCUUAACGGCGUGGGGGUUCAAGUCCCUUAACCCGCAUUAA
rnacentral:tRNA from 12 species